UGGUGGUGUGGGUGUUUGAUCUAGAAGUUUGGAGUCAGGGGUUUGGGAUUGGUAAUUUUGGGAACUACUGAUAUAAACUGAUGAGAAACUGGUACUUUUUCAAACUUUCAAUUAUGGGUUAAUAAGUAUGGAACCUAAAUAGAUUAAAUGUCACAAUAGGAUCUUCUCUUUGUAUUUUGUGAUAUUGUUUGCUAUGCUUCCUAUCAAAAUCUGAUUCUCUCUAGCUGUUGGUGAACUAUUUUCCUAUAGUUGCACUUUAGGAAUAUUUGUUCUACCAUUCUAUCUAUGUAUCAAUCUGCAUUUACCUUACAUUUCCAAUUGUUGCAGUUUAUUUGUCUCAGAUUUGUGUAAUUGUGUUAGAGAUGCAGUUGUCUUUUGUUAAUUUCUUUAUUUGAAGGAUUUUUUUUUUUAA
rnacentral:misc_RNA from 1 species